ACCUCUAUUGCCCCUUUUCCACCGGCUCUACUUCAGCAGCUCGGCUCUAUUUCGGAGUGACCGCGUUUCCACCGGCCGGCUCGGCUCUGUAGCACGGUGCCGCCCCCUGGUGGUGGGGGGUAUAGCGCUCCGCCUCCAGGCGCCAUGUGCUGUGCUUAGUUACGCGACCUAACGCCAGAUGUUGUUUUUCUGGGACAAAAGAAGAAGAGAGAGCUGAGCUAUUGUUUUAUAGCCGAUUGUGAUUUUUCUGGGACUUCAAGAAAAUGCGCGGUGGGAGGAAAACUGUGAUGUGGUGAGGAAGAGGAGGAGGAAAAGGAGGAGGAAGAGGAGGACAGCUGAUCUCCACCUUGCAGGGAGGAAAGCAGGUGGUUCAGACGGUGCAGAUGUUGGUGAACUGCAGACCAUCGCGGUUCUUCCUGCAGCCUCUGAGUUGGAGGAUCUCAUCAGUGUCCGUCUUCCUGACCGCCGGUCGGUUUUUACCUCCAGGAUGUCCAGAGACCUUCAGCUUCUGGAGCAGGAACCACAUGAGCUCCAUGUGCUGAUGAAACAUUUCUAAUUUAAAAUGUGUCUGAUGUUCUUAGAGUUGAAGUGCAUUAACAAUCUGUUGUUUUUCACUUCAAUAUGUUUAAUUAUGAUUCAUCUGAUGUCCAAGUUACACUGAGAACAAAUAAAACUGUAUUCCUUCUAAUCUGACUGGUUCUAGUUUUAAUCAAACCUUCAUGUUUCCACUUUUUAGUCUCUAAGAAUUAAAAGUUUAAACUCUUAGUCUUAUUUAUCACUAAUUAAGGUUCCAGGAUUGUAUUAGGACCUUGAUGCCAAACAAACUACAGUUUGUACAAUAAUGUGAGGAGAGAUUAUAAAAAAGAGACUUUGUUCACUGAGAGAAAACAGCAUUUAUUUUCUUCUUUUAUUUGCCUCGGCUCUUCAUGGAGCUCUGCCAUCAGCUGGUAGCUGCUUCCUCCUGAAGGAGAUCCAGUUGUUGUUCUGACGGUUCUCCUCAUCGUUCUCCAUCAUGUCAGCCAUGUUCCUCCUCUUCUGUUCUCUGGGAAAAGUAAUCAGAUGUUAGAGCUUGCAGCACAUAAAUGUAGAUAAAUAACAGAGUUACUAAUGUGGGAGUUUGUUACGUCCACAAAGGGCACAACAUAUUUGAGGACACGAAGACAAAAAUGAGGAUUCAGAAGUAAUUUUUAUUUUCAAUUCUCUCGACCUUUUCUUUAAGAUGAGCUUCUUUUGAUUUUUCUGUGAAGAAAAAGAAAAUUAAAUCCUCGGUUCCCCGUGUAGCAUAUUUGAAAAUAACUGAAUUGUUAUUCAAUAUAAAAUAGCUUUUAACCAAGUAGACAGGCUAGGUUUUCUUCCCUUUUUCAGAAGAGUAGGUACGACUCAAAAAAAGAGCAGGUAGGCUAGAGUUUUGCAGCUGCGAGUAUUUUGUAUUUGCAAUGUGAAUAUUAUAUUUACAUAUUUACAACCACACAUUUGGGAUAUGAAACAUAGGCAUGAAAGAAAGGGGAAAAAAAACAAUGAAAUAAAAAAAAGAAAAAUACAAGGGAAAAAAAACAACAAAAAAACUAAUUAAUUAAUCGGUCCCAAAGUUAAAGUUCAUCUCACACCCCCCCUUAGUCCAUCCACCCCGAAUGGGGAUCAAUCAGGCUCACCAACAAGGCGAGUAUCCGGAGCUUGAUUCACGUCUUGGGUAAAUGAAAGUCCAAUCAAAGAAGGAGCAGAGUCCUUUGUAGGAUUCUCCUACCGGCUGGGUAGGAGAAGUAAACAGUCCUUAAUCACCAACAGGUGAAUUCUUUCCUUGGCUCUAGGCCUGGUCUCAUAGCUCGCCAUCCAUCUGGCCUGAACAACAAAACAGGACCACUUCCUCAAUAUAAUUAUAUUUUCUAAUAUUCUUAGUGUAUACACGGUUCAAUAAAUAAUUCUAUCAUAUUCAAUCAAUUGCAAUAAAUCUAAAAUUCAAUAUAAAUUACAUUCAUGAAACAUUCAAUAAAUAUACACCAUAUUAUCAAUUAACAUGAAAUGUAAAAUACUAAUACAAACCAGUGCUCAAUAAAUACUUCAAUUACCCGUUUUGGUUAUCAAAAGCAAUGUUCAAUCAGUUUUUAGUGGCUACACAAUAGCAGUGAUUACAAGCCAACGCUAAGUCAUUCAUAACAACACUCACCAGUUCCGCAGUUUUGUGUCAUACUACCGGAUCUUUUCCAUCUCCCUUUCCGGCUCACAAUAAUGGGCUCCUACAGUUCAGUACAUUAAGUGAGCAUCGUACAUAUUUACAGACAUUAAAUGAUACUACGCUUUAACUGACCUGCCAGCUCUGCUCCUUCCGACGCGAUCUAACCUUCAUGCCUUUCGCUCCA